GAUGAACGCUGGCGGCGUGCCUAAUACAUGCAAGUCGAGCGAAAAGACGAGGAGCUUGCUCCUCUGACGUUAGCGGCGGACGGGUGAGUAACACGUGGAUAACCUACCUAUAAGACUGGGAUAACUUCGGGAAACCGGAGCUAAUACCGGAUAACAUGUUGAACCGCAUGGUUCAACAGUGAAGGACGGUCUUGCUGUCACUUAUAGAUGGAUCCGCGCCGCAUUAGCUAGUUGGUAAGGUAACGGCUUACCAAGGCAACGAUGCGUAGCCGACCUGAGAGGGUGAUCGGCCACACUGGAACUGAGACACGGUCCAGACUCCUACGGGAGGCAGCAGUAGGGAAUCUUCCGCAAUGGGCGAAAGCCCGACGGAGCAACGCCGCGUGAGUGAAGAAGGUCUUCGGAUCGUAAAACUCUGUUAUUAGGGAAGAACAAAUGUGUAAGUAACUAUGCACGUCUUGACGGUACCUAAUCAGAAAGCCACGGCUAACUACGUG
rnacentral:rRNA from 1 species